CGUAGGGGGCAAGCGUUGUCCGGAUUUACUGGGCGUAAAGCGCCUGUAGGCGGCGGGUCAAGUCCGGCCUGAAAGCCCCCGGCUCAACCGGGGAGGGUGGCUGGAAAACUGGUCCGCUUGAGGGCGAGAGAGGAGGGUGGAAUUCCUGGUGUAGCGGUGAAAUGCGUAGAGAUCAGGAGGAACACCCGUGGCGAAGGCGGCCCUCUGGCUCGACCCUGACGCUGAGAGGCGAAAGCGUGGGGAGCGAACGGGAUUAGAUACCCCGGUAGUCCACGCCGUAAACGAUGGUCACUAGGUGUGUGCGGUAUCGACCCGCACGUGCCGGCGCUAACGCAUUAAGUGACCCGCCUGGGGAGUACGGCCGCAAGGUUG
rnacentral:rRNA from 1 species